ACUCAAAUGAAUUGACGGGAGAGCGCACAACCAGUGGAACAUGUGGUUUAAUUCGAUAAUAACCGUAGGACCUCACCCAGGCUUGACAUGUAACUGCACAGUCGAUGAAAGUCGACUUCUUUCGAAGGUGUUACACAGGUGUUGCAUGGCUGUCGUCAGCUCGUGCCGUGGGGUGUUCCCUUAAGUGGGAUAACGAGCGCAACCCCUAUCGUAUGUUGAAUAUUCAUACGAGACUGCUCUCUUUAUGGAGAGAGGAAGGAGGGGACGACGUCAAGUCAGCAUGGCCCUUAUGUCUGGGGCAACACACAUGUUACAAUGAGGCCGACAAUGGGUCGCCAAGCCGCAAGGCGGAGCUAAUCCCAUCAAACGGCCUCUCAGUGGGGAUUGCAGUCUGAAACUCGACUGCAUGAACGCGGAAUUGGUAGUAAUCGCAAAUCAGCUAUGUUGCGGUGAAUACGUUCUCGCUCUUUGCACACACCGCCCGU
rnacentral:rRNA from 1 species